rnacentral:snoRNA from 1 species
CUGCAGCCAAGUAAGCCGACCGUGUUCCUUUCCUCGUGGGGACCCGGUGUGCAAUGGCUGCAAACAGCAGCUUCCUUGGUAGUGUACGCAGGCUGUUUCUUGUAUAGGUUGCUCUUAGGACCUUGGAGACAGCC